CUGCACGUGGGGGGAGUAGCAGCCCCCCUUAACACCCCCACCCCCACAUCUCCAGAGAAGGGGACACUCACGAGCACAAGGCAUUCUCCAGAGAAGGGGCAGGUGAGAGCCACUGGUCGCCAUCAAGGAAGCAGGAAGUAGAAAGAUGGGGGACACCCAGGACCCCAGCCCAUGACAUCUGACUGUAAAACCCAAAGCUGAUCACCAAGCCCCACCCCCAGGGGAACAGGAUGCCACAACCUCUCUGAACGAUGGCUCACCUCAUGGCCACUGGCUUCACUAGAGCAAGAGACAAGAGAGAGUGCCAGCAAGAAGGAGAAUCCAGCAGGACAGCAGUCCUGGAAGUGACAUCCCAUCAUUUUUGCCAUGUUCUACUAGGUAGAAGUGAGAAGUCCAGCCCACAUGCAAGAUGAGAAAAUUAUACAAGGGCAUAAAAACCAAGGGGCAGGGACCAUUGGAGACCAUCUUAGAUGCUGCCUACCACAGGAACCAUGCAGUUAUCUGGGGGAAGAGCAUUCAAGGUGGCAGGAACAGCAUAUGCAAAGGCCCUGAGGCAGGAACAAGCUUAAACUUUGGUGGGGAAAAAGGACAAUGUGACUGGAGCAGAGACUAAGGGGAAAGAGUAGAACAUGACGGCAGAGACCUGCAGUCAUCCCAAGGGCUGUGGGAAGAAAUCCUACAUUUUUUCUAAGAGCCAUGAGAAACCAAUGAGAAACUGGCCAAUUUCAAGGCAAGACAUGAGCCAUCUGAUUUACAUUUUGAGAAGAUUCCUAUCAUACUUGCAGAAGUAGUUUGAUACCUGGGGUUUGCUUUAAAAUAUUCCCUUAAAAAACAGGUUGGAACCUAAUUACUGCCCCUCCUACCCACCCCCCAAAAAACACAAAAAAACAAGUUGGAAGGUGAGAGAUGAAACAAAAUGGCCAAAAUGUGGAUUAUCAUAAAAGUCAGGCAAUGGGACCCAUAUAGGCUUUGCACACUGUUCUCUCUACUUUAGCAUGUGCAUGAAAAUUUUCUAUACCAAACAGGGAAAUCUUACAGACAAACCAUGUAUCUAGUUUCUGAGGAGUGAAAGAGAACUGUUGGGGAGCCAGGGCAAAAGCAGGGGUUCAAGGUAGGGGUGACAGCAAUGGUCCAGGCUAUAAGACACCCACAUGCCCAGAAUUAGAGGCUGACGAUACCAAGUGUUGACAAGACAUGGAGGAACUGGAACUCUCAUCCACUGCUGGUGUGCAUCAAACAGUCUGCCAGGCUGGUUUGUUGGUUUUUAUAAAGUUCCAUGCUCACCACACAGCCCAGCAAUUCCAUUUGUGGGUAUUUACCCAAGAGAAAUGAAAACAUGUCUGCAUAAAGAUCUGCUGGCAAAUGUUCACAGCAGCUUUAUUUGUUUUUGAAAAAACAAAAAACCAAAAACCCAAACUGGAAACAUUCCAAAUGUCUAGGACAAGAGAAUGGAUAAACAAAUUGAGGUCCAUUCAUACCAGGGAAUACUCUGCAGCAGUAAAAAGGAACAAACUUCCAACAGAGUUGCUGGAUAGAGCUCUCAGAACACUCAAUGUUGAGAAGAGGCCGCCCUGUGUGGUUCUAUUUGUACAAAAUUCUCCGAAAGGCUGCGCUAACCCAUGUGGAUAGAAGUCAGACUCAGGGUUGGGGAUGAGAGGGAUGGAAUACUUCUGGGAACUUCUAGAGGGAACGUUCCAUACUCUGACGGGGUGGGGCCCAGGGCCAGAGGCAAGUGCAAUGCAGGCGGACAUCUGACCUUACAGGAUGUAAAUGAUCUCUCAACAAAGGGUCAGGAAUAGCGAUUCCAAACCCGGGUGAGAAGCAAGUGGGAUUUCAUACUCGGUUCCGAGGCAGAGCCUGCGAGCCUUGCUGGUGGGCGGGACGUGGGGGUGCGAGGAAGCCCCGUGGCCUCCCCCCUUUAGGGGAGAGGGAAGCCCAGACCCCUGCCCCUGGGCGGGAUGUACUGGCAGGUCUAAAAGCUUCCCUGCAGUGGCCCAGGAGGUCGAUAGCAGACACCCCGGCUCCGUCCUGUCCUGCCUGCCAGGCAGCCCAGCCCCUUCCCGCCAGCCCAGCCCCAGGGAGGGGACCCCGCCGGGGUGGAGUCAGCUCCGCAGCCCCGCGCCUGGCUCUGGUCCCCCUCCCCUCACGCCCCUCCUUCUCUAUCCCCAGAAAUCCCAGCCACUGAAACUUGAUCUUGUCUAGGGGGCUGGAAGGGGUACCCAGGCAGCCGCACCUGGGGGUGCACUGUGGACGGGCCCGCCCACUUCCCCCCCAUACACAGGGAGCCCAGGUGACUCCGCGAAAGUGGGAACUGAGGUCUUCAUGUGAGAGCCCCCAAUAAAUCUUGACUUAAAGCCACCUCUUUGAUGUCAUUCAGGCUUGGGCUCGUUUGUCCAUUCAUCCAUUUAUUCAUUCAUUCAUUCAUU